UAUCCUAUGUUGCCAGCGAGUAAAGUCGGGAACUCAUGGGAGACUGCCGUCGACAAGACGGAGGAAGGCGGGGAUGACGUCAAGUCAUCAUGCCCCUUAUGUCCUGGGCUACACACGUACUACAAUGGCCGGUAACAGAGGGCAGCGAAGCCGCGAGGUGAAGCGAAUCUCAAAAACCCGGUCCCAGUUCGGAUUGCAGGCUGCAACUCGCCUGCAUGAAGUCGGAAUCGCUAGUAAUCGCAGGUCAGCAUACUGCGGUGAAUACGUUCCCGGGCCUUGUACACACCGCCCGUCACACCACGAGAGUUGGAGACACCCGAAGCCGGUGAGGUAACCGUAAGGAGCCAGCCAUCGAAGGUGGAGUCGAUGAUUGGGGUGAAGUCGUAACAAGG
rnacentral:rRNA from 1 species